rnacentral:tRNA from 2 species
UCCGGGAUCGUCUAAUGGUAGGACGACAGGUUUUGGUCCUGUUAAUUGGGGUUCGAAUCCCUAUCCCGGAACAA